rnacentral:rRNA from 1 species
GUUCGGCUGUUCGCCGAUUAAAGUGGCACGCGAGCUGGGUUUAGAACGUCGUGAGACAGUUCGGUCCCUAUCCGCCGUGGGCGCAGGAGAUUUGAAGGGAUCUGUCCCUAGUACGAGAGGACCGGGAUGGACGAACCGAUGGUGUACCGGUUGUUCCGCCAGGAGCAUCGCCGGGUAGCUACGUUCGGAAAGGAUAACCGCUGAAAGCAUCUAAGUGGGAAGCCAACCCUAAGAUGAGAUCUCCCUUGGACUUCGGUCCACUGAAGGGCUGUUCGAGACUAGGACUUUGAUAGGCUGGGUGUGGAAGCACAGUAAUGUGUGAAGCUGACCAGUACUAAUCGCCCGUGAGGCUUGAUCAC